UACAGAGGGUGCAAGCGUUGUUCGGAAUUAUUGGGCGUAAAGCGCACGUAGGCGGCAUAGCAAGUCGGAUGUGAAAUCCCUCGGCUUAACCAAGGAAGUGCAUCCGAAACUGCUGUGCUUGAGUACUUAAGAGGAUCGCGGAAUUCCUGGUGUAGCGGUGAAAUGCGCAGAUAUCAGGAAGAACACCAAUGGCGAAAGCAGCUCUCUGGGACGGUACUGACGCUGAGACGCGAAAGCGUGGGGAGCGAACAGG
rnacentral:rRNA from 1 species